CAGUCUGGUGCCAGCAGCCGCGGUAAUUCCAGCUCCAAUAGCGUAUAUUAAAGUUGUUGCAGUUAAAAAGCUCGUAGUUGAAUUUCGGGGUUAGUAGGUUGGUCGUGCCACUGGUACGUACUGGUCUCACUGACUCCUCCUUCCUGAUGAACUGUAAUGCCAUUAAUUUGGUGUUGCAGGGAAACUGGACUGUUACUUUGAAAAAAUUAGAGUGUUUAAAGCAAGCUAACGCUUGAAUACAUUAGCAUGGAAUAAUGAAAUAGGACGUUCGAUCCUAUUUUGUUGGUUUCUAGGAUUGACGUAAUGAUUAAUAGGGAUAGUUGGGGGCAUUAGUAUUCAAUUGUCAGAGGUGAAAUUCUUGGAUUUAUUGAAGACUAACUACUGCGAAAGCAUUUGCCAAGGAUGUUUUCAUUAAUCAAGAACGAAAGUUAGGGGAUCGAAGACGAUCAGAUACCGUCGUAGUCUUAACCAUAAACUAUGCCGACUAGGGAUCGGAUGAUGUUAAUUUUUUAAUGACUCAUUCGGC
rnacentral:rRNA from 1 species